GAUGAACGCUGGCGGCGCGCCUAACACAUGCAAGUCGAACGAUUAAAGCACCUUCGGGUGUGUAUAAAGUGGCGAACGGCUGAGUAACACGUGGGCAACCUGCCCCUUUCAUUGGGAUAGCCACGGGAAACCGUGGAUAAUACCGAAUACUUCGAGACUUCCGCAUGGAAGACUCGAGAAAGCUCCGGCGGAGAGGGAUGGGCCCGCGGCCUGUUAGCUUGUUGGUGGGGUAACGGCCUACCAAGGCAAUGAUGGGUAGCUGGGUUGAGAGACCGACCAGCCAGAUUGGGACUGAGACACGGCCCAGACUCCUACGGGAGGCAGCAGUGGGGAAUCUUGCACAAUGGGCGAAAGCCUGAUGCAGCGACGCCGCGUGCGGGAUGAAGGCCUUCCGGGUUGUAAACCGCUUUCAGCAGGGACGAGGCGAAAGUGACGGUACCUGCAGAAGAAGCCCCGCUAACUAC
rnacentral:rRNA from 2 species